rnacentral:rRNA from 1 species
UACAGAGGGGGCAAGCGUUGUUCGGAUUCACUGGGCGUAAAGGGUGCGCAGGUGGCGCUUCAAGUUUGAUGUGAAAGCUUCGGGCUUAACCCGGAAAUGGCAUUGAAUACUGGAGUGCUGGAGGUUUGGAGGGGGGACUGGAAUUCUCGGUGUAGCAGUGAAAUGCGUAGAUAUCGAGAGGAACACCAGUGGCGAAGGCGAGUCCCUGGACAACACCUGACACUGAGGCACGAAAGCUAGGGGAGCAAACAGG